CCUACGGGAGGCAGCAGUAGGGAAUCUUCCACAAUGGACGAAAGUCUGAUGCAGCAACGCCGCGUGAGUGAAGAAGGGUUUCGGCUCGUAAAGCUCUGUUGGUAGUGAAGAAAGAUAGAGGUAGUAACUGGCCUUUAUUUGACGGUAAUUACUUAGAAAGUCACGGCUAACUACGUGACAGCAGCCGCGGUAAUACGUAGGUGGCUAGCGUUGUCCGGAUUUAUUGGGCGUAAAGCGAGUGCAGGCGGUUCAAUAAGUCUGAUGUGAAAGCCUUCGGCUCAACCGGAGAAGUGCAUCAGAAACUGUUGAACUUGAGUGCAGAAGAGGGGGGUGGAACUCCAUGUGUAGCGGUGGAAUGCGUAGAUAUAUGGAAGAACACCAGUGGCGAAGGCGGCUCUCUGGUCUGCGACUGACGCUGAGGCUCGAAAGCAUGGGUAGCGAACAGGAUUAGAUACCCCAGUAGUC
rnacentral:rRNA from 1 species